UCUCCGUUUCGGGGUGGCCAUCACACACACCUCCAACAUGCCUCUUACGUUCUCUUCCUCAGUUGCCUCCACCCCCGGUGCCACAAAGGAUUCGCUCCAGCCAGCGGCAGGGCGUGACUUCUCCAGGAUACGUUGGAGCCCAAGAGCAUAAUUUCAGCCCUAUCUUGCAAAGAAGACAAAGUCUGGGGUCUUCAAGCUCUAUGGAGAGCACGCUAGAUCCAGGCUACAAUACGAUGGACAAACUUGGUGGUGGAUUCAGCAGCAGGUAAGGGAGUCCGAGGGGGCCUCGGGACCAGCUCCCUUAGCUGCUGCCUAGAGGUGAAAUAAAGUUU
rnacentral:lncRNA from 1 species